GGGUUGUGAGGUUAAGCGACUAAGCGUACACGGUGGAUGCCCUGGCAGUCAGAGGCGAUGAAGGGCGUGCUAAUCUGCGAUAAGCGCCGGUAAGGUGAUAUGAACCGUUAUAACCGGCGAUACCCGAAUGGGGAAACCCAGUGUGAUUCGUCACACUAUCAUUAACUGAAUCCAUAGGUUAAUGAGGCGAACCGGGGGAACUGAAACAUCUAAGUACCCCGAGGAAAAGAAAUCAACCGAGAUUCCCCCAGUAGCGGCGAGCGAACGGGGAGGAGCCCAGAGCCUGAAUCAGCAUGUGUGUUAGUGGAAGCGUCUGGAAAGGCGCGCGAUACAGGGUGACAGCCCCGUACACAAAAGCGCAUGUGCUGUGAGCUCGAUGAGUAGGGCGGGACACGUGGUAUCCUGUCUGAAUAUGGGGGGACCAUCCUCCAAGGCUAAAUACUCCUGACUGACCGAUAGUGAACCAGUACCGUGAGGGAAAGGCGAAAAGAACCCCGGCGAGGGGAGUGAAAAAGAACCUGAAACCGUGUACGUACAAGCAGUGGGAGCCCCACCACUAAGCCAGUGGUGAACUCCACAUACGCAUCCUUUGCUGAGGAGACGGUUAACGGAGCGAAAGCGACGUUCAACCGCAAAAGAAGCAGAGGGGGCUUAGUGGUGGGGUGACUGCGUACCUUUUGUAUAAUGGGUCAGCGACUUAUAUUCUGUAGCAAGGUUAACCGAAUAGGGGAGCCGGAGGGAAACCGAGUCUUAACCGGGCGUUAAGUUGCAGGGUAUAGACCCGAAACCCGGUGAUCUAGCCAUGGGCAGGUUGAAGGUUGGGUAACACUAACUGGAGGACCGAACCGACUAAUGUUGAAAAAUUAGCGGAUGACCUGUGGCUGGGGGUGAAAGGCCAAUCAAACCGGGAGAUAGCUGGUUCUCCCCGAAAGCUAUUUAGGUAGCGCCUCGUGAAUUCAUCUCCGGGGGUAGAGCACUGUUUCGGCUAGGGGGCCAUCCCGGCUUACCAACCCGAUGCAAACUGCGAAUACCGGAGAAUGUUAUCACGGGAGACACACGGCGGGUGCUAACGUCCGUCGUGAAGAGGGAAACAACCCAGACCGCCAGCUAAGGUCCCAAAGUCAUGGUUAAGUGGGAAACGAUGUGGGAAGGCCCAGACAGCCAGGAUGUUGGCUUAGAAGCAGCCAUCAUUUAAAGAAAGCGUAAUAGCUCACUGGUCGAGUCGGCCUGCGCGGAAGAUGUAACGGGGCUAAACCAUGCACCGAAGCUGCGGCAGCGACGCUGAUGCGUUGUUGGGUAGGGGAGCGUUCUGUAAGCCUGUGAAGGUGGCCUGUGAGGGUUGCUGGAGGUAUCAGAAGUGCGAAUGCUGACAUAAGUAACGAUAAAGCGGGUGAAAAGCCCGCUCGCCGGAAGACCAAGGGUUCCUGUCCAACGUUAAUCGGGGCAGGGUGAGUCGACCCCUAAGGCGAGGCCGAAAGGCGUAGUCGAUGGGAAACGGGUUAAUAUUCCCGUACUUGGUGUUACUGCGAAGGGGGGACGGAGAAGGCUAUGUUGGCCGGGCGACGGUUGUCCCGGUUUAAGCGUGUAGGUGUGUGUUCCAGGUAAAUCCGGUUCACUUUAACACUGAGGCGUGACGACGAGGCACUACGGUGCUGAAGCAACAAAUGCCCUGCUUCCAGGAAAAGCCUCUAAGCAUCAGGUAACAUCAAAUCGUACCCCAAACCGACACAGGUGGUCAGGUAGAGAAUACCAAGGCGCUUGAGAGAACUCGGGUGAAGGAACUAGGCAAAAUGGUGCCGUAACUUCGGGAGAAGGCACGCUGACACGUAGGUGAAGUGAUUUACUCAUGGAGCUGAAGUCAGUCGAAGAUACCAGCUGGCUGCAACUGUUUAUUAAAAACACAGCACUGUGCAAACACGAAAGUGGACGUAUACGGUGUGACGCCUGCCCGGUGCCGGAAGGUUAAUUGAUGGGGUCAGCGCAAGCGAAGCUCCUGAUCGAAGCCCCGGUAAACGGCGGCCGUAACUAUAACGGUCCUAAGGUAGCGAAAUUCCUUGUCGGGUAAGUUCCGACCUGCACGAAUGGCGUAAUGAUGGCCAGGCUGUCUCCACCCGAGACUCAGUGAAAUUGAACUCGCUGUGAAGAUGCAGUGUACCCGCGGCAAGACGGAAAGACCCCGUGAACCUUUACUAUAGCUUGACACUGAACAUUGAGCCUUGAUGUGUAGGAUAGGUGGGAGGCUUUGAAGUGUGGACGCCAGUCUGCAUGGAGCCGACCUUGAAAUACCACCCUUUAAUGUUUGAUGUUCUAACGUGGACCCGUGAUCCGGGUUGCGGACAGUGUCUGGUGGGUAGUUUGACUGGGGCGGUCUCCUCCUAAAGAGUAACGGAGGAGCACGAAGGUUGGCUAAUCCUGGUCGGACAUCAGGAGGUUAGUGCAAUGGCAUAAGCCAGCUUGACUGCGAGCGUGACGGCGCGAGCAGGUGCGAAAGCAGGUCAUAGUGAUCCGGUGGUUCUGAAUGGAAGGGCCAUCGCUCAACGGAUAAAAGGUACUCCGGGGAUAACAGGCUGAUACCGCCCAAGAGUUCAUAUCGACGGCGGUGUUUGGCACCUCGAUGUCGGCUCAUCACAUCCUGGGGCUGAAGUAGGUCCCAAGGGUAUGGCUGUUCGCCAUUUAAAGUGGUACGCGAGCUGGGUUUAGAACGUCGUGAGACAGUUCGGUCCCUAUCUGCCGUGGGCGCUGGAGAACUGAGGGGGGCUGCUCCUAGUACGAGAGGACCGGAGUGGACGCAUCACUGGUGUUCGGGUUGUCAUGCCAAUGGCACUGCCCGGUAGCUAAAUGCGGAAGAGAUAAGUGCUGAAAGCAUCUAAGCACGAAACUUGCCCCGAGAUGAGUUCUCCCUGAGACUUAGAGUCUCCUGAAGGAACGUUGAAGACGACGACGUUGAUAGGCCGGGUGUGUAAGCGCAGCGAUGCGUUGAGCUAACCGGUACUAAUGAACCGUGAGGCUUAACCUUACAACGCCGAAG
rnacentral:rRNA from 1 species